rnacentral:lncRNA from 1 species
AGGGAUUCACCGGAGUCUUGGAGUGCAUAUAUCAAAGGUUAAUAUACAUUUUUGUUCCUUCUUAGUUUAGAAAUUUUAUAAUUGUAUAUCUGCUUAUUAUUUUCUUGUCUCACUUGGUUUUUUUACUUAAAAAUGACAUUUUUAUUGCCAUAUUAUCUUACUAUUGAUAAUAAGAUUCAAUUCACAUUUCUGAAAAGAAAAAAAAAAGUCUUCUGAUUCACAAUUUGAAUCAUGAUCUGAUUAAUAACCAUUGCGCUGAGCACUUAAAUCCAGCUAUUUAAAAGUGUUUCACUCAAUUCUAAGUUUUUUCUUUUCAUUCCCUUUGCUUAUGUUCCUAUCAUCUGAUUCUGGGGAUGCUUCAACAUUGAAUUUACUUAGGAUUAUGAGAUAUAGUAUAGUUGAAAGUUUUUGUCAUGUGAAAGGAAGCAAAACAGCCACAUUCAUUGUUCAUUGUAGCAGUGUAAAGUUUAGCAUCUGAUCUUGCAAAUUCUUUUCUUGAAAUUUGAUAGGUAUGUAUAUGAAUUUAUGAAUAAAGAUGAAUGGAAUAUUAUAUUACUGAUAUUAUAACUGCACUUUGUUGAGAUUGAAUACAAAAGAAAGCUGUAAAUGAGGAAUGAAAAGGAUAACUGAAUGAUAGUGACACUAUCAAACCCAAAAGAGUAUAAUGACUCUCCCAAAUCACCAAUGAUUGAUGACCCUACUUUCUCAACAGAAAACUUGGUUACCUUAUUCCUUCCCAUACUACUCCUUAUAUAGCGCUACUGACACGCACUUCUCACACACCUCACUCACCUGAUACGCACAUGCUACACCUUGCACAUGCUAUUAUUCAUUUCCCUUCUUUUUCUCAUUCUUCCAUCGUUUUCUCGAAUAUACCCUCCAUUCUUUAGGUCCCACAUUAUUAUUAAGACUCACAUCCUUAUCAAAAUUAAUGAGUUUUUUUGGAAUUUUAUUCUGUCAGGGCACCACGAUGGGCUAGUGGGAACCUAGGAAUUUUCAUUUGCAUACAAUUUUCAGGGAUUCACCGGAUUCUAGGAGUGCAUUUAACAAAGGUUUAUAUACAUUUUUGUUCCUUCUCAGUUUACAAAUUUUAUAAUGGCUGAACCUUCUGAUUUUGUUACAAGGUGAGGUCCACAACUUUGGAUACAUGGUUGCCAGAACAAGUUUUUUUCAUNNNNNNNNCUAUGGAAUCUAUUUAUUAAUUACUUUCUUUGUGAAAUGUACUAUUGAGCAAUUUAUUAGACACACUGAGCAACUCUUUCUUUCUCUCCUAUAGGACAUUACGUAAUUUCGAUUUGAUCGAUUAGCUCUUUCUUUACUCAUGGAAGAUAUCGGUGCUGUCAAAUAGCGGCUAUAGCACUAUAGCAUAGCAUAAUGUUAACAACUAUUGCUCCACGAUACGCGAUUCAGUACAAAGUUUUUUAAGUAACUGCUUUAGCUGCACCAUAAGCCUAUAACUCUAGCAUAGUGAAAUUUUAACUAACAGCUAUUUUUUGCAAUUGACAGUGCUAGAAGAUAUUAUAAUUGUUACAAAUGUUGUUUGGCUAAAUUGCAGUUGCGGUUGUGACUUGUGGUUACACUGGGACCCUUAAUACUAUGGCAUAAUAUAGUCGUAAUUGAAAUGCUGUUGUUAGG